UGGUGGGUGAUGACCUGGCCACUGUGCAAUCUGAGUUCUGAGAACCAGGUAAUGGAGCCGGUUCUGACUUGGACCGUGACCC